rnacentral:rRNA from 1 species
AUUGAACGCUGGCGGCAUGCUUUACACAUGCAAGUCGAACGGUAACAGGCCGCAAGGUGCUGACGAGUGGCGAACGGGUGAGUAAUGCAUCGGAACGUGCCCAGUCGUGGGGGAUAACGCAGCGAAAGCUGCGCUAAUACCGCAUACGAUCUAUGGAUGAAAGCGGGGGACCGGAAGGCCUCGCGCGCUUGGAGCGGCCGAUGUCAGAUUAGGUAGUUGGUGGGGUAAAGGCGGGCCAAGCCAACGAUCUGUAGCUGGUUUGAGAGGACGACCAGCCACACUGGGACUGAGACACGGCCCAGACUCCUACGGGAGGCAGCAGUGGGGAAUUUUGGACAAUGGGCGCAAGCCUGAUCCAGCAAUGCCGCGUGCUGGAAGAAGGCCUUCGGGUUGUAAACUGCUUUUGUACGGAACGAAACGGUCCUGGUUAAUACCCGGGGCUAAUGACGGUACCGUAAGAAUAAGCACCGGCUAACUACGUGCCAGCCGCCGCGGUAAAAC